GAUAAAACCCAAACCUGUUAACGGCGAACAAUUUUCUCCUUUUAGUAGUAAAUCUGAAAUCUGUUUUACUGGGACAGAUCUUGCAUGUUUGGUGGUUGUUCUAUUUCUUUCCUUUCCCUUCUUCCUUCUUCUUGGAUCUGAUUUAUUUUGUUCUAUUGUUGUGUUGUUAUUUUGGUUAUAGAAAGUGGUUUGUUGUUGUUGAAGAUGGAGGUUGAUUUGGGUUAAUAGAGGUUAGAGGUGGUGAUGGUGAUGAAUUUUCUAUGCCCUUUGUUUUUUAUUCUGUUUAUUCUUAUCUUGUUUGUUCUUUUUGGGUUGAAGAACAAAUUUGUUUUAUUUUUUAAUUUUAUUCUGUUUUAAAAUUUGAACCAUAGGAUUGAUCUAACCAUCCAGAUUUGGAGAAUGAUAAAGAAGGAGAGAGUUGGAGAAUGAGAGGAUCCACUUUCCUUUUAGUCAACUAAAUUGACUUUGAUUUUAAUCAACUAAAUUGACUUUGAUUUCAAAUUUUUUAAGUGUUAUUGUUUUUUUUUAAAGAUAUGUUAUCUGAUUUAAUAACUAUAUAGUUUUAUUAUAGAGACCGGUUCAUUCCAUCGGUUUAAUCCG
rnacentral:lncRNA from 1 species